rnacentral:lncRNA from 1 species
AAGCUUUCAAAUCAAAAGACAAGACCCGGUUUUUCAAAGAAUAAGUGCUACAAAUCGGGAAAGAGCAUCAAGUCCCGCAUAUCCGUACCGAAAAGGACGUGUCGGAUAUGGACGCUUAGAACAAUCCAUGGUAAGUAUUUAUAAAUUGCGAUAACAAAUUUGUUCAUCAUAUAUUAGUUUUAUCUGAUCAAUUGUAUGACUUAAUGUGUAGCUGCAGAGGAGGAAAGUUCAGAAACAUCUCUUCCUGCACAUGUUUUGUGGAAGGAAGCCCGUGUGGGCAAAUCUGGAGUUCCUCAGAAGAAGUUUUACACGUAUACCAGAAAUGUGUAAGUAUAACAUUUUUUCAUUAAUUGAAUAACAUUUUUAUACACAAAUAUUUGACAAGUAUCGGUAUUCAUCUGAUUUUCAGGAGGAGCUAUCUCAGUCUUUAUCUCCCGAUGAUACUAAGGGCAUACUUAGUCGGGCAUUAGAUGUCCCUGAGUAUUCUGGUCGGGUGAGGGGUAAGGGAUUUGGAGUCACUCCGACCUCCCUGAGUAUUAAAAAAGGAAAGGCUCCUAGUAAUCGGGAGCUUCAUGCAAGAUUGGAAGCCAUGCAAGCUGAGCUGAUGCAUUGAGGAGAGAAAGAGAGGCUAGCGCCUCAACAGUAUACAGAGAUGCUUCGGACAAAACAGUAUCAACUGUACCUUUCAGCCGAACAUUCCAGAGGUAAUUACAUAUAAUUGUCUUAAAUUGAACUAUUUGCUUAAAUAUGUAUUUGACAUAUAUACACAUAACGAUUUCUUGUUAUUAUUGGUUUAGGGCAUUUCCAUUGUCAGCUGUAUUUGUCGUCACCAUACUAUCGGAUGGUUGGCAAGGGAAAGUGCAUAACGUUAGCGGAGUAUUACUCCCACUAGAGAGCUCCCUGCUGGAUGUUUGAAGGUAUCAGUUGAUAUUGACGUUGAGCAGAAUGCAACAUUACAUAUCCUGAGCGAUGAUUCGGAUGCAACAACGGUGCACGAAGCAGUAGGUUCGUUUGUUGCAUGGCCGACAAACCUCAUAUGCGUAGGAUAUGAGGUAUGCUUAAAACUUAUGUUAACUUUAAUGUGUAUAUUCAAAGUUUAAAAAUUUAUGCUUAAAUUUUACUUACAUAUUUUCCUUGGUUAUGUUAAAUAGACUCCCAAAAUCCAAAUCAAAAGAUAAUGCGAUUCCACGGCAUACCGAGUCCACGGUUUCAAGAAAAGAGGUAUAUACAAUAUAAUAAUACAUUUCAUGGAAGUUGUUACAUUCUAAUUUGAUCUAACUAUUUAUAUGACAUGUAGCUUCAAGAAAAUGAGGUUAGCAAUGCUCGCACAACAAAAAAAAGGAGGUUAGCACGCCUCCGCACGGGUAAAAGUUAUGAUGCUAAGAAGACCGUAGCUAGGAAAAAACUACACCCAAGUAUAGGUCGUUAUCUGAUAAUGCAUGAUUUCUUUAUUUUUUUGUUUUCAAUUGCUUUGAUUAUAAGUUAUAUUUGAUAUUUGAUGGUUUCCUUGGUUUAUUACAGGUUAGACAUGGUUGAUGACCAACAUGAGGAAGGAAUGAAAUUCCCAUUACAUGUGAUGAUUGGAGAAACAAAGAGCUGAAUGAGUCCAAAGAAAAAAUUUGGAGUGAGAUAAAGGUACAAUCAUUUGGCCCUUAACUAUACGGUAUCAAUUAUGUUUUUUCAAUUACCAAUACUAACUAUCAAUCUGUAUGUUUUUCUUAACGAUGUUUUAACAUCGAAGAAGAAAGAAGAGGUUUUUGUAUGAAAUUGGCCGGAAAGCUUCUAAGAGGGUUUCGGACAUUUUUAUCAUCCAAGUUCCUUAAGGAUGCAGAUGGUAAUUUUGUGGAUGCGGAGCUUCCUAAAAAAUAUGAAAGUUUGAUAUCGGCUGAAGAAUGGGAAGCUUUCAAAUCCAAAAGACAAGACCCGGUUUUUCAAAGAAUAAGUGCUACAAAUCGGAAAGAGCCAUCAAGUCCCGCAUAUCCGUACCGAAAAGGACGUGUCGGAUAUGGACGCUUAGAACAAUCCAUGGUAAGUAUUUAUAAAUUGCGAAAACAAAUUUGUUCAUCAUAUAUUAGUUUUAUCUGAUCAAAUUGUAUGUCUUAAUGUGUAGCUGCAGAAGGAGGAAAGUUCAGAAACAUCUCUUCCUGCACAUGUUUUGUGGAAGGAAGCCCGUGUGGGCAAAUCUGGAGUUCCUCAAGAAGAAGUUUUAC